rnacentral:lncRNA from 1 species
AUGAAUUGGGUUCAACGAAAGAUUUAUCUUUACAAUGUCACUUUUGGGCUCUAUAUGUUGGAUUGGUGGGAGCGUUAUCUCUUCAGUAUCCUAUGUUAUGCCUUUUUUUCUUCAAUAUGCUUGACAUGUGUCCUUUUUAAGUUUAGAGCGUAAGCUUAUAUCCAUGAUCAUGUAGAGAUGGAGUUUAUAAUUUCAAUUUUCAAGUGGUUGCAUGACACUUACAUUUAUUCAAUUAGAAAAAAGAAGCAUUUUGCUUGAUCUUAUUAUAAACCUUUCUUGCUGUUAUGAUUUGAAAAGUUGCCUCUUAUUUUGCAAUAUCUCCGAUCACCAUAUGCUAAAACCUGAAGUUUUUCUUGAGCUUGUUUACUGGUUCCUACCAUAUUGCCAUAUAUAAGUUUCAUUAAAAUUUGUAUUUUUGGUUAUCAUGUUUCUGGUUCAGUCUUAUGACUUAAUGAAUAGGAGGGGAAAUGCAUGUUGAGGAAAUGUUAUAUUUAGGAUAUAAGAUUUUACCUACAGCUCUCACCAUUCUCGAUCAAAUUUAAUAUGAAGUUCUCUCCCUUCCUCUAUGCUGUUACAUUGCGCUUGUGAAUUCCUAAAUCUUGACAGAUACUUUGGUCGUUGUGUUGAUGUGGUUCAUUUUUUACAAUGGCUCACGAUAUGUAACGGAGUUUUGCAAGAGGUAACAUUCUAACCUUUUUCUCUUGUUGGAUAUCAUAAGUUGUAGCAUCUUAUCGUUAUGUUAUAUUGGAAUUUCGUAAUAUGUUCUUUGCUAUGAUGUGUUUGGAUGUAAUGGUAGGCCAAGGCCAGUAGAUAAUGUGGAAUUCGGCUGCCAAAUAAAUCAGUUUACAACUCUUGGUUUAGCCUCCGUUCCUUCGGGAAAAUAG